ACCAAGGCGAUGAUGGGUAGCCGGCCUGAGAGGGUGUACGGUCACACUGGGACUGAGACACGGCCCAGACUCCUACGGGAGGCAGCAGCUAAGAAUAUUCCAAUGGGCGCAAGCCUGACGGAGCGACGCCGCGUGGACGAUGAAGGCCGAGAGGUUGUAAAGUCCUUUUGCAGAUGAAGAAUAAGGCGAGGAGUGGAACGUCUUGCUGAUGACGUUAGUCUGCGAAUAAGCCCCGGCCAAUUACGUGCCAGCAGCCGCGGUAAUACGUAAGGGGCGAGCGUUGUUCGGAUUUAUUGGGCGUAAAGGGCGUGUAGGCGGUUUAGUAAGCCUGGUGUUAAAGGCCUUGGCUCAACCAAGGUUUGGCGCCGGGAACUGUUAGACUAGAGUUCAGGAGGGGGAGCUGGAAUUCCAGGUGUAGGGGUGAAAUCUGUAGAUAUCUGGAAGAACACCGGUGGCGAAGGCGAGCUCCUAGCCAUGGACUGACGCUGAGGCGCGAAAGCGUGGGGAGCGAACAGGAUUAGAUACCCUGGUAGUCCACGCUGUAAACGAUGUGCACUAGGCGUUGGGUAUGCAAGAUACUCAGUGCCGAAGCUAACGCGAUAAGUGCACCGCCUGGGGAGUAUGCCCACAAGGGUGAAACUCAAAGGAAUUGACGGGGGCCCGCACAAGCGGUGGAGCAUGUGGUUUAAUUCGAUGGUACGCGAGGAACCUUACCAGGGCUUGACAUGUACCUGGAUGUCCAAGAGAUUGGGCAGCCUCUUUUUGAGGCGGGUACACAGGUGCUGCAUGGCUGUCGUCAGCUCGUGUUGUGAGAUGUUGGGUUAAGUCCCGCAACGAGCGCAACCCUUACUGUCUGUUGCUAACAGGUAAGCUGAGGACUCAGACAGAACUGCCGGUGACAAACCGGAGGAAGGUGGGGAUGAGGUCAAGUCAUCAUGGCCCUUAUGUCCUGGGCUACACACGUGCUACAAUGGUCGGUACAGAGCGUAGCGACACGGCGACGUGGAGCCAAUCGCAAAAAGCCGAUCUCAGUUCGGAUUGAAGUCUGAAACUCGACUUCAUGAAGGUGGAAUCGCUAGUAAUCGCGCAUCAGCAUGGCGCGGUGAAUACGUUCCCGGGCCUUGUACACACCGCCCGUCACACCACCCGAGUUGAGGGUACCCGAAGUCGCUAGUCUAACCGGGAACGGGGGACGGUGCCGA
rnacentral:rRNA from 1 species